rnacentral:lncRNA from 1 species
CAAAAGUGCUUUCUUGCUUCGUUUAUUGAUUACUCACGUUAAUCGCGUGAUUCAAUAUCGAGUGUACCUCCAAAGACAAUCCACUUCCCAGUGUUGUGACAAGCGGCGACCGCGGUUGUACAGGAGCGGAAGCGUGAGCCUUUUGACGAGCGACUGUGAAGAAUGCAAAGCCAGUGCCAAACUUCGGAACCGAUAGCCCGGGCGGCGUGUUGGCACAGCGAGGAUGAGAACGAGAGACCCGAUAGACACCGAUGACAGCUGUUCACGGCACCGACACAGAGGACAGAUUGCAGUGCAAGAUAGGAGCGGUCUUCCUGCAAGCCCAGACAAGCCAUAUUGAGUGGUUUCAAAUACAGCAACUGUACCACCACGACAGUGCAGCACAAGAGACCCUAUCGUCAGUGCUGAGUCAGAAAUUAAAUAGAAAAG